GUCAGAAGCCGUUGGCUUUCCUUUUGCUUCACAAAACAUUAAGUAUUACUGCUCAAUGCCUCAUCUGAAUCUCAAAAAUAUUAAUCACAAAUAACGAAUGACGUGCCCUACCUAUCACAGGAAGACUAGCUCAAGAAACUUGCCAGCAACCCACAAACGAGUCCACUUUCUUUGUAUCUUGCCACGAGGCUCUCUACGUCAAGCUGAGAAGUUAGUAUUGAGGACACAAUUCUAGCCUGCACAUUUCAGUAAGAACCAACCGUGAGACUCCUGUUCGUCUCCUGUCCCCUUCCUCUGCGCUGCCUGAGGGUCUCCACAGGAGGGAUUCUCAGUGUUCAGGCCUGCAAAUGCCUCAUUUAAAGCAUCAUGGGAGGGUCCAGGCAGCUCUUCCUGCCCAUGAGUCCUGUCCCCGUGGUCUACUAAAAUCACCUUUUUGCACCAAAGACAUCUUCAAGAAUUCUCUCCUGGCCACCAGCUCUGAGCCCCAUGAACCCCGCCGUCACCGCAAAACCUCAUCAAUGAUCUCACAGUUCGUGGGUUCGAGCCCCAUGUCGGGUUCUGCACUGACAGCGUGGAGCCUGCUUGGGAUUCUCUUUCUCUCCCUCUCUCUCUCUGCCCCCCCCUCUGCUCACAUGCUCUGUCUCUCUCUUUCUCAAAAUAAAUGAACGUAAAAAAAAAAAAAAAGAAUCUAAUGCAAUGUUACAAGGAAUAACUAGAAAUGGCAAUGUACCUAAAGCGACCUGAGUGUUGCUGACUUCGUAUGACAAUGAAACAAGUGAAGAGUAAUUCAUACUGUUAAUGUUAGAAAAUACAUUUUCCCGUCUUGCUAAUGUUGCCAUAGGGGUCAAGGGCAGGCUGCUCCAAGAUGGGCCCCUUUGGCAUAAAGAUUAUUUCAAGUUAAAAGUAAACAAAACCCAUUGUGGCACUAUAUGCUAACUCAUUUGGAUGUAAAUUAAAAAAUUAAAUUAAAAAAAAGUAAACAAAACCCAGCAGGUGCAGGAAAAGCUCUCUGCUUCCCCCUCAACUGCCGAAAUCUGCAUUGGAAAGGAGAGCCUGUACCUGAAAGAGAGCUGUUAACUGAGA